rnacentral:lncRNA from 1 species
CCAGAAGCAAAGACAGGCCAGAGGAAAAAGUGAUGAUGUAAUAGCCAAGAUAAAUUUACUGGAGAAAAGUGAUGCUGGGUCUGCAGGGGAAGCAGAUGUACAAUGGCCAUGUCAAGAGAUGGAACAGGAAUGGCCAGUGUGGGACUUCUGAAAAGUAAUAAAAAAACCCCAGAAUGGUUUGAGCCCAGCUUUAAGGUUCCUGCAUUCUAGUCACUCUUUAGCAGUUCAGCAAACACAACACGGAAAGCACCUUGUCCUCUACCACCAUGUGAGAUUCCUUUCUCAGAUGGAAUCUGUCUCCAGGGCCACAGUUCAAACCACAUUUCUGAUGAAGGGUCUUCAACCUUAAGAAUUGUUACAAAGUUAAAUUCAUUCCCAUCAUAAUUACCAUGCCUGUGUUAACAGAUGGGCAGCUGAGGUUGUGGGAGUAUUAUUUGUUCAAGGUCACACAGAAAAUCUAAGGCAGAGCCCUGGUAGGAACACAAGUCUCCAGAGCCCAGACCUAAUGCUUGAAGCCCAAAGCUUCCCUCACACAGCCCAGCUGGCAGCUCACUGGUGGAGUGCAGCAGCAGGAAAGGCAAAGAGAAGGCAGCUCCUCUCCACCCAGAGGAACAGGUCAGGGCUGAGGACAGCCUGAGGUUCAGCACCAAAGCUGAGGAAGAAGGGAUGUCCCUCUGCCACUGAGUUUUGGGUUUUC